AUUGAACGCUGGCGGCAGGCCUAACACAUGCCAGUCGAGCGGAUGAAGGGAGCUUGCUCCUGGAUUCAGCGGCGGACGGGUGAGUAAUGCCUAGGAAUCUGCCUGGUAGUGGGGGAUAACGUCCGGAAACGGGCGCUAAUACCGCAUACGUCCUGAGGGAGAAAGUGGGGGAUCUUCGGACCUCACGCUAUCAGAUGAGCCUAGGUCGGAUUAGCUAGUUGGUGGGGUAAAGGCCUACCAAGGCGACGAUCCGUAACUGGUCUGAGAGGAUGAUCAGUCACACUGGAACUGAGACACGGUCCAGACUCCUACGGGAGGCAGCAGUGGGGAAUAUUGGACAAUGGGCGAAAGCCUGAUCCAGCCAUGCCGCGUGUGUGAAGAAGGUCUUCGGAUUGUAAAGCACUUUAAGUUGGGAGGAAGGGCGGUAAGUUAAUACCUUGCUGUUUUGACGUUACCAACAGAAUAAGCACCGGCUAACUUCGU
rnacentral:rRNA from 1 species